GACAGAGGUGCCAAGCGUUAGGCGGAAUCACUGGGCUUAAAGCGUGUGUAGGCGGACUCGUAAGUACCUUGUGAAAUCCCACGGCUCAACCGUGGAACUGCUUGGUAUACUGCUUGUCUUGAGCCACUUAGGGGCUGUCGGAACAAACGGUGGAGCGGUGAAAUGCGUAGAUAUCUGGAGGAACACCGGUGGCGAAGGCGGCAUCCUGGACCGAUAUUGACGCUGAGGAGCGAAAGCCAGGGGAGCAAACGGG
rnacentral:rRNA from 1 species